rnacentral:rRNA from 1 species
UGAAGGAGCCGAAGCGAAAGCGAGUCUGAAAUGGGCGAUUAGUCAGUGGCUGUAGACGCGAAACUUGGUGAUCUACCCUUGGUCAGGUUGAAGCGCUGGUAACACAUCGUGGAGGACCGAACCGGUAAACGUUGAAAAGUUUUCGGAUGAACUGAGGGUAGGGGUGAAAGGCCAAUCAAACUGAGAAAUAGCUCGUACUCCCCGAAAUGUUUUUAGGAACAGCGUCGUGGUUGAGUCAUGGUCAGGUAGAGCUACUGAUAGGGCUAGGGGGAGUCAAAUCCUACCAAACUCUGACAAACUCCGAAUGGGCUAUGAUAUACACGGCAGUGAGGGCUGGGGUGCUAAGGUCCCAGUCCGAGAGGGGAACAACCCAGAGCAUCAGCUAAGGUCCCAAAAUAUAUGCUAAGUUGAACUAAGGGGGUCCGACUGCAGAGACAGCCAGGAUGUUAGCUUGGAAGCAGCUAUACAUUUAAAGAGUGCGUAACAGCUCACUGGUCGAGCGGGGCGGGCAUCGAUAAUAAACGGGCAUCAAGCAUAUUACCGAAGCUAUGCGAUAGUAAUUUAUUACGAUCGGUAGGGGAGCAUUCUCACAGGGGUGAAGGUUUGGCGUAAGCCGGGCUGGACUGGUGAGAAAAGCAAAUGUAGGCAUAAGUAACGAUAAUGCGGAUGAGAAAUCCGCACACCGAAAGACUAAGGAUUCCUCCGCUAUGCUAAUCAACGGAGGGUUAGGCGGGGCCUAAGGUAUAGCCGAAGGGCGAUUACCGAUGGACAGCAGGUUAAUAUUCCUGCCCCUGCGUUCAGUGUGAAAGAGUGACGGAGUAUUGUGGUAUGUACGUACUGACGGAAUAGUGCGUUGAGCAGAGCCUACGGGCGAAGCGAACAUACGAAAACGCUUCCAAGAAAAGCUUUUGAAACAUCAGCUGAAUGCAGCCCGUACCGUAAACCGACACAGGUAGUCGAGAAGAAUAUUCUAAGGUGCUCGAGUGAAUCACGGCUAAGGAACUCGGCAAAUUAACCCUGUAACUUCGGGAGAAGGGGAGCCUCCUCGCAAGAGAGGCCGCAGAGAAAUGGCCCAGGCGACUGUUUAGCAAAAACACAGGGCUCUGCCAAAACGCAAGUUGACGUAUAGGGCCUGACACCUGCCCGGUGCUGGAAGGUUAAGAGGGGAUGUCAGCCGCAAGGUAAAGCAUUGAAUCGAAGCCCCAGUAAACGGCGGCCGUAACUAUAACGGUCCUA